rnacentral:rRNA from 1 species
AGUGAACGCUGGCGGUAUGCCUAACACAUGCAAGUCGAACGGCAGCACAGUAAGAGCUUGCUCUUACGGGUGGCGGGUGGCGGACGGGUGAGGAAUACAUCGGCAUCUACUUUUUCGUGGGGGAUAACGUGGGGAGACUUACGCUAAUACCUCAUACGACCUACGGGUUAAAGCAUAGGUGCUUCGGACCUUUCGCGCAUGACAGAGCCGAUGUCGGAUUAGUUAGUUGGUGGGGUAAAGGCCCACCAAGCCGACGAACCGUAGCUGGUCUGAGAGGAUGAUCAGCCACACUGGAACUGGGACACGGUCCAGACUCCUACGGGAGGCGGCAGUGGGGAAUAUUGGACAAUGGGCGCAAGCCUGAUCCAGCCAUACCGCGUGGGUGAAGAAGGCCUUCGGGUUGUAAAGCCCUUUUGUUGGGAAAGAAAAGCAGCAGGUUAAUACCUCGCUGUUCUGACGGUACCCAAAGAAUAAGCAACGGCUAACUACGUG